rnacentral:rRNA from 1 species
UACGUAGGGGGCAAGCGUUGUUCGGAUUCAUUGGGCGUAAAGGGCGCGUAGGCGGCGGGGUAAGUCGGGUGUGAAAUCUCAGAGCUCAACUCUGAAACUGCACUCGAUACUGCUCUGCUUGAGGACUGGAGAGGAGACUGGAAUUCACGGUGUAGCAGUGAAAUGCGUAGAUAUCGUGAGGAAGACCAGUGGCGAAGGCGGGUCUCUGGACAGUUCCUGACGCUGAGGCACGAAGGUCAGGGGAGCAAACGGG